GACGGAGGAUGCAAGCGUUAUCCGGAAUGAUUGGGCGUAAAGCGUCCGCAGGUGGCAGUUCAAGUCUGCUGUCAAAGACCGGGGCUUAACUUCGGAAAGGCAGUGGAAACUGAACAGCUAGAGUAUGGUAGGGGCAGAGGGAAUUCCUGGUGUAGCGGUGAAAUGCGUAGAUAUCGGAAGGAACAUCAGUGGCGAAAGCGGCUUCCUGGACCAGUACCGACGUUCAGGCACGAAAGCGUGGGGAGCAAACAGG
rnacentral:rRNA from 1 species